UACGGAGGAUGCGAGCGUUAUCCGGAUUUAUUGGGUUUAAAGGGUGCGUAGGCGGGUUAUCAAGUCAGCGGUAAAAUCGUGGAGCUCAACUCCAUCCAGCCGUUGAAACUGAUGAUCUUGAGUGGGCGAGAAGUAUGCGGAAUGCGUGGUGUAGCGGUGAAAUGCAUAGAUAUUACACAGAACACCGAUUGCGAAGGCAGCUUGCUAGGCCGGAUCUGACACUGAUGCACGAAAGCGUGGGGAUCGAACAGG
rnacentral:rRNA from 1 species